UGCAGAGUUGCAUAGUGGCUAGAGCAUUGAACUAGGACUUUGGAGAUCAGUGUUCAAAUCCCUGCUUGGCCA